GAUUGAGAACGAUGGGGCCGACAGUUAUUCUGCCGGAACAACCAGGUGGACGAGAAGCGAAAUGGAAGAGGAAGAGUACCACCUGGAGAAGAAACCCAGGCAGGAGGAGGAAAGUGUAGACCAAAAGCUGCAAAAAAUGAGAGAGCAGCUCUUGGCCGAGUUGGGAACGAAGGAUCAGAACCAAACUCUCCUGCCCACCUCUUCACCCUUCUCGAAGUGGGUGCAGCAAGAGACUGUUCCCAAGAAAUUUAUGAUGCCACCUACGGCC
rnacentral:lncRNA from 1 species